CACUUUAUUCCGUGCUGUAAUGUAAAGUGCUUACAGUUUGUUAUUCAGAAUUUAAGUUGAAGUUGCUGUAGGCUACAACUUUCCAAUUACAUCAAGAAAUGUUUUUAUUUACAAUGAUUCGCUACAUUAUAUUCAUGCCUUGGGAUCCUUUUGAGCCACUCAACCCAUACUCAUAUGGAAAAGGACAUAACUUCAUAUCUGAAGUUGUACUCAAAUAUAAUGCAAAUAUACUUACUUACAUCAGAUUUCAAAUGAGCUGAUGUACUUACACAAAAUAAGCAGCCAAUAGAGUUGAAUUGAUUAAAAUACUUAAAGCUCAUUGGUCAGUGUGUGAUUUGAAGGCGAGAUAUGUUUUGAAUAACUGUUGAGGUUGCAAGGAGUAAAAGGAACAAAAAGGAAGAAGAGUGCCAUCAGGACGACAAGUCAUUAUGAGGGGUUGCAUUUUCAGGAAUUAUAUUUGUUUUCAUGUGUAUUCAAUUGUUUGGUGAAAUAAGCUUAAAAGGAGAGUCAUUUCUAAUUUCCUAUAAUGCUGCAUCUUUUGAUGAAUAUAUUUAUGUUUUGAGAAAGCACCUACAUUUUAAAAAUGUGUUUAUUGUUUUGCAAAAGACCACAGAGUUAUGUGCCUUUAGAACACGGUUUUGAAAAUCAACAUUGUUCCAAGAAAUGCUUGUACGCGAUUGAGAAACUGUAACUCAUCAUCUUCUUCAUUGUGACCUUCCAUUACGAGCUUUGCUUUGGUGAUGGUUGAGGCCUAUCUAUUCAUAUCAGCAGUUCUCCACUGUACUCACCUGUCCUUAUUUCUACUGGGGAUUGGCUUUCUGCUUGGUGGUGGAAAGUCUACAAACCUGUCAGCAGAGUAGCCUACGUAUUGAAUACAUUGGAUUGUGAUCAUACCAAUGAAUGAAUGCUGCACACAAUGUACUUAUUUUACAUGUUAUUUUGAUCAGGAAGGAUAUAUAAGUUGAUGUGUAUGAAAUUGUUUGGUAAAAUAUGCAUAAAAGGUGAGUAUUUGCCCAUAAUUCUGCAUCUUUUAUAGUUGUAUUUUGAUCAAGAUUUAGUGACUGCAAAUAAAAUCUAUUGAUUAAAUGUGAGGCAACUUGAGGCAAAAGGUAUAUAUGGUUGUGAUAAUCUUUUUGCAGGCAGUCAUGUUCUUUGGAUGAAUGUAUUUGCAAUUUUGGCAGAAUAGUUUUGAUGAUGUAUUUGCUUUUUGAGAAGGCAACUACAUUUUAAAUAUACAUUUACUGUUUUGCAAAAGGCUACAGAGUUCUGUGUCUGUUUGAAAAUGGGCAACAUUGUUCCAAAAAAUGCUUGUGCAUGAUUGAGAAACUCUAACUGAUCUUUUAUAACCCAAGGUAACAGUGAUACACAAACUGUCUCUUUAUACGUAUUCCCUUUAGUACUAUAACAGCGAUACUGGGUGCACAUCCAGGUGGAACACCUUUACCAGAAGAGGUCCAGAUUCCUGAUGAAAACAUACGCCGUUAUAUAGACAGACAAGUCACUCAUGACAUCAUGCUGCUGAAGCUGCCUACGGCAUAACCUCAGUUAACUACCAUUCAGCUUCCUCCCUCUACAUGCAAGACACCUGAGUUGAAGGAGAAUGUGAGAAUUGCAGGCUGGAGUUACACAGCAGGUGAAUUACAGAGGUGAGUGAUGCACAAGAACCUAUUUGCAGGUAUUAUAUCAUUUUCUCUAAUCUAACUCCACAGAUGGCACAAAGCCAGAGAAACUACAGUGUUCAAAAUCAGGAGACCUCCAAGUCACUGACUGUGACACCACAACAGAUGCUCAAACCAAUAUUCAAAUGCGAUUCUGCGCAGCAGGUCUAGGGAAGACAGACGCCUGCCAUGGGGACUCUGGAGGAAGUCUGAUGAACAAAGAUGGCCUCCUGUAUGGUGUGACCUCACGGGGUAGUAAAACAGAGUGUAAAGUUCCAAUCAACUUCAUGGAUGUUUGCAAGUACCGAGAAUGGAUAAUAGGAGAAAUCAAUAAAGAUAAUAAUUGAGUAAACAAAUGAUGUACUCCAAUUAAAAGGUGUUCUCAGAUCUCCUUAAGAA